AAGCUACGGCGUAGGUCCGACGCAGAAGUAUAAAUCAGCCUUAAGUCGGAUAAUUCAGAAAACGCCGCUGUGUCCGAGGAAGUUGAGGCACAGAAUUGGCCACCUAAGCCAAGCUUCCCACAAAAGGGCCGUCCUUAGCUGACGCUGGGCCUGGUGCGAGGUAGGGAACGUCAUAUUCAGCAGUGGCAGCUCUUAAAGUAAUAGCAGUAG